rnacentral:lncRNA from 1 species
CAUGCUGUUCUGUCCCAUCUGGGCGGGUAGCGAGCUUCACCGUCUGAUUCAUCAAAACAUGGAAAAGCUUGCUGAUUCCUUGGAUGGUACGUAAAACGCGUGCCACACUCAUUGGAAAAAAGAAACAAGAAAAAAAUCUUUGCUAAUGAGAUUAUAUUUAACAUAGAUAGUCAAUACUAUUUUCUUUGUCCAACUAAUUGCAGGGUGUGUAACUGAGUACUUCGAAGGGGAAAUUAGUGGGGAGGGUCUCAACAAGAAGAUGCAAGGGUAUAAAUGUGUGCUUAAUUCCAAAGCAACAGAAGAAUCUAUGGUAGAAUGUUAUUAAUUUAAUUUAAUCAAAUGCGUUUAAGGGGAUUAAUAUUUCAUUUUCAUGAACAUUCAAUAUUUUUGUUUCUAUCAAUUUCGCAGGCUAAUUUUGCAAGAUGGGAACCAACACAUGGCCGGUUCAACUUUGGACAUCCAUGGAAACAAUACCUCAAAAUUGGGGAUUCAUUGCGCACCUGCGCUUAUUGCAUUAAGACUCUGAAUAGUCGUAUCGACUCAGAAAUUCAGGUAAAAAUCUUAGCAAAAGAUAUGGAUCAACUCAGAUAUAUAAAGCUUUUAAAGAAAAUGGUAUAUUUAAGUCUAAACUAUUGUUUCUGUAUAUGAACGCAGGCACCUCCAUGCAUAAGUAGACAUCUUAGUGAUAAGUGCUUGAAAGUAAGCUUCAAUUCUUCUAAUGUACUGAAGGAAUUGGCAUUAAUAAUCAUGAAAAUGAAAAGGUCUUCCAAGAUAGAUUUCAGAGUUGCAGAGAUGCACUUUGCAGUACAAGAACUUCAGGAUGCCAUGAAAUCUUUGCCUAGCCACCUUAUUACAUCCUCAUCAUCAAUAGGAGAAGAAUCAACCGAAGCCAAAGUACCUCCUAUCAUGGAGUUUCUUCCCCUGGUCACGGUAGUUUCUUUGUUGGCAGAAAUUGCAUCAAGAGUAGGAGUAGUUGUUGAUGCAGUGGAAGAGCUGGCGAGACUUGCAGAAUUCAAGCCUGCAAAGGAUCGGAAAUCCAAGCAACACCAACCUACUAAUUAACUUAUUUCAGAUAAUCUAAAUCAUCAAACCAUAUGAAGGGCCAACCCCAGAAGUUUGAGUAGACAUUGACAGAGAAAAUUGAUCUGCUUCUGUGUUUACCUUGUAAAGACGCUUAUAGGUUUGUCAAUUGCUUAUUGCUCGAUCGCUACAUAAAGAAAAUCUUGUUCAUUGCUCGUUUUGUCUAUUGCAUUACAUCUUGCAAUGCACCGACUCUGUUCAUGCGUUUCACUUUAUGCAAUUUUUAUUGCAUAGAUUGCGUCGAAAUAAUAGAUGUUGCAAAAUUCUCAGACCUACAUUGGAUUCUAGGACUGCAUGUUGCUUUACGCCUAAGUUAUAGUAUUCUUACUUUCUAGUUAUACA